UACGUAGGGGGCGAGCGUUAAUCGGAAUUACUGGGCGUAAAGUGUGCGCAGGCGUCGUCGCAAGUCGAGUGUGAAAGCCCCGAGCUUAACUUGGGAAUUGCGCUCGAAACUACGGUGCUGGAGUAUGGCAGAGGAAGGUGGAAUUCCACGUGUAGCGGUGAAAUGCGUAGAGACGUGGAGGAACACCGAUGGCGAAGGCAAUCCCCUGGACCUGUACUGACGCUCAUGCACGAAAGCGUGGGGAGCAAACAGG
rnacentral:rRNA from 1 species